UACAGAGGUGGCAAGCGUUGUUCGGAAUUAUUGGGCGUAAAGGGCGCGUAGGCGGCUUUGCAAGUGACGGGUGAAAUCCCCCGGCUUAACCGAGGAACUGCCUGUCAAACUGCAUGGCUUGAGACCAGGAGAGGUGAGUGGAAUUCCCAGCGUAGCGGUGAAAUGCGUAGAUAUUGGGAGGAACACCAGUGGCGAAGGCGGCUCACUGGACUGGUACUGACGCUGAUGCGCGAAAGCGUGGGGAGCAAACAGG
rnacentral:rRNA from 1 species